rnacentral:rRNA from 1 species
AUUGAACGCUGGCGGCAUGCCUUACACAUGCAAGUCGAACGGCAGCAGGGGUGCUUGCACCUGGUGGCGAGUGGCGAACGGGUGAAUAAUACAUCGGAACAUGUGCUGGAGUGGGGUAUAGCCCGGCGAAAGCCGGAUUAAUACCGCAUACGAUCUACGGAUGAAAGCGGGGGACCUUCGGCCCUCGCGCUCUAGUGUUGGCCGAUGGCUGAUUAGCUAGUUGGUGGGGUAAAGGCCUACCAAGGCGACGAUCAGUAGAUGGUCUGAGAGGACGACCAGCCACACUGGGACUGAGACACGGCCCAGACUCCUACGGGAGGCAGCAGUGGGGAAUUUUGGACAAUGGGCGAAAGCCUGAUCCAGCAAUGCCGCGUGUGUGAAGAAGGUCUUCGGGUUGUAAAGCACUUUUGUCCGGAAAGAAAUCCUUGGCUCUAAUACAGUCCGGGGAUGACGGUACCGGAAGAAUAAGCACCGGCUAACUACGUG